GUCUGUGUAAUUUAUGAAAAAUAGCGGUCUUGUAAGCCGCCAAUAGGCCCACCCUCGUAGACA
rnacentral:tRNA from 1 species